rnacentral:lncRNA from 1 species
CUCUUUUCUCCAAACAUCAGUCAUUUCCUGGAAAUCAUCCCAGGCACGCAGCGGCCCAUUCAAGUUAAUUAAGCACGUGUCUCUGACACCAACCAGAGCGUGCGCCCUGGCCAAGCCCUGAAGGGGAAGCUCGGGCCGAGGGGUCACGGGCCCUGCCUCCCCGCCCCUGCCGACCUCUCCCGCUCCUCGAAAACCCGGUAAUCCCGGGAAACGGCGGCUUCUGCCAGCGAGCUGGCUGGCUGAGCCCCGGGCAGCCCGGAGCAAGGGAACCAACAGAGCCUGGCGUCGGCCCGGGGUCGACUGAACACCGUCCAUCCUCCCAACACCCGACUCUGCGUCCACCGACUGGACUCAAGGACCCCCUCCCCGACGGAGGAGGGGUAGGCGGCUAGGAAUCCGCAAACCUGCGCGCGUCCUCUCGCCCGCCAACUGCAACCACCACCUGCUCUCUAGGUCCCGCGCCAGCCCCGCCGUCGUGGGUCCCUUACCUUGUGGCUUUUCCCCCCCGGGGGACACCUGACGUUGUUGGAGGCUCCCGCUGUCUGAUUCAUGUCCGGAGGAACUUGGGAACCGAUGCUCUAGAACCUCUCCAAGUUCCUCGGCGCCUGGAGGGUGGCGAGGGGCGCGUCUCCCGGAGGCGAGGUGGGUCCUGGCAGUCCAGCCGUGUCCGGGCGGCGUCCCCUACGCGGCAGGUUUCCGAGGGACCCCUCGCCCAGGGAAGCUGAGCACUGCAAGCCCCGGAGCCGAAGAAGGAGAAGCAGCUGCUGGGAUCCCAGAGGGAGCCGGGCCGGCGCCGGCGGCUCUGAGGGCGCUGUGCCCGGGGCUGCCUUCUCCGGGAAGCAGUCCAGGACUGUCCGGACCUGAGCACCAGCAGAUCCUAAAGGAGCUCCUGGGAGAGGCGAGGAGAGCAUCAAGCUGAAAAGCAACUCUCCAGCUUUACUGACUUGACUUAAAUGAUAUUGGAGGCCGUGUUUUAAGCCAAAUUGCCCUCUGGAGUCUCUACACAGAAAUCUCAUUACUGUGGAAUCUGUGGGGUUUCACUUCCUGGGUACUACUUCAUCAUCUUUCAGGAAGAUUUUGAACAACUAGAAAAAAUUCAAAUCCUGCAGAAGUCGUCACACAAGAAUAUGCUUGAACUCCCUGUGAUUGUGUGUUAAAGGAAGAGGAUAGUCCUUGUGAGGGUGGAGUGGUUGCCUAGGGCAGUUGGGAAUCUGUCCAGAGCUUUGUGGGAAUUCCUUGCUUUUGCAAUUUUUUCCCCCUAAGCUUGGAAGAUAGCAUAAAGGAAUCAGCCUGUUGAACAGAGCAGGCAGUUGUCUGCUUAUAUCAGAUUUAUACCAUUUCUUGAGACUGAGUUGCACUCGGACCUGAAUGCAACUAAGCUCCCAUAUUCCUUCCUCGAACUAAGGACUCUACAGGGGCUGUUGUGAACACCUGGGCUCAAGACACCCACCAAAGCUGAACAGAGACUCGGCCUCAUCA